AUUGAACGCUGGCGGCAUGCCUUACACAUGCAAGUCGAACGGCAGCAUGAUCUAGCUUGCUAGAUUGAUGGCGAGUGGCGAACGGGUGAGUAAUACAUCGGAACGUGCCCUGUAGUGGGGGAUAACUAGUCGAAAGAUUAGCUAAUACCGCAUACGACCUGAGGGUGAAAGUGGGGGACCGCAAGGCCUCAUGCUAUAGGAGCGGCCGAUGUCUGAUUAGCUAGUUGGUGAGGUAAAGGCUCACCAAGGCGACGAUCAGUAGCUGGACUGAGAGGACGAUCAGCCACACUGGGACUGAGACACGGCCCAGACUCCUACGGGAGGCAGCAGUGGGGAAUUUUGGACAAUGGGCGAAAGCCUGAUCCAGCAAUGCCGCGUGUGUGAAGAAGGCCUUCGGGUUGUAAAGCACUUUUGUCCGGAAAGAAAUGGCUCUGGUUAAUACCUGGGGUCGAUGACGGUACCGGAAGAAUAAGGACCGGCUAACUACGUG
rnacentral:rRNA from 1 species